rnacentral:rRNA from 1 species
GACGAACGCUGGCGGCGUGCCUAAUACAUGCAAGUAGGACGCUGCAGGAGGAGCUUGCUUCUACAGAUGUGUUGCGCACGGGUGAGUAACGCGUAGGUAACCUGCCUGGCAGCGGGGGAUAACGAUUGGAAACGAUAGCUAAUACCGCAUAAUAGUAGAUGUUGCAUGACAUUUGCUUAAAAGGUGCAAUUGCAUCACUACCAGAUGGACCUGCGUUGUAUUAGCUAGUUGGUGGGGUAACGGCUCACCAAGGCGACGAUACAUAGCCGACCUGAGAGGGGGAGCGGCCACGCUGGGGCGGUGACAAGGCCCGGACUCCUACGGGAGGCAGCAGGAGGGAAUCUUCGGCGAUGGACGUAAGGCUGACCGAGCAACGCCGCGAGGGUGAAGAAGGUGGUCGGAUCGGAAAGCUCGGUGGUAAGAGGAGAGCGAGUGUGAGAGUUGAAAGGUCACUCUGUGACGGUAGCUUACCAGAAAGGGACGGCUAGCUACGUG